GGGGAAUUUUCCGCAAUGGGCGAAAGCCUGACGGAGCAAUGUCGCGUGGAGGAAGAAGGCCCGUGGGUCGUAAACUCCUUUUGUCAAAGAAGAAGAAAUGACGGUAUUUGACGAAUAAGCAUCGGCUAANCCCUGUGCCAGCAGCCGCGGUAAUACAGGGGAUGCAAGCGUUAUCCGGAAUUAUUGGGCGUAAAGGGUCCUGAGGUGGCUAUCCAAGUCUAUUGUGAAAUAUCAGGGCUUAANCCCUGAACAUGCGGUGGAAACUAGAAAGCUUGAGUACAGUAGGGGCGGAGGGAAUUUCCGGUGGAGCGGUGAAAUGCAUAGAUAUAGGGAAGAACACCAACGGCGAAAGCACUCUGCUGGGCCGAUACUGACACUAACAGACGAGAGCUAGGGGAGCGAAUGGGAUUAGAUACCCCAGUAGUC
rnacentral:rRNA from 1 species